rnacentral:rRNA from 1 species
UACGUAGGGUGCGAGCGUUGUCCGGAAUUACUGGGCGUAAAGGGCGCGUAGGCGGCCAGCACAAGUCAGUUGUGAAAUCUCCGAGCUUAACUCGGAAAGGUCAACUGAUACUGUGCGGCUAGAGUGCGGAAGGGGCAACUGGAAUUCUUGGUGUAGCGGUGAAAUGCGUAGAUAUCAGGAAGAACACCCGUGGCGAAGGCGGUUCUCUGGGACGGUACUGACGCUGAGACGCGAAAGCGUGGGGAGCGAACAGG